AUAGUAUAUUGAUCAAAUUAACCUUUUCAGGCAAGAUGAACGCCGAGAAAAACAAGACUUUGGCAGAUGUUCUUGUUCGCUCAGACACCCCGUAGGAAGGACGAAGGUUUCUCAGAACUGCAGAUGCUGCUCUAUAAUCAGUUAUGAAGUUUUUUUGUGGGGUAAUCAAUUAGGAAGCUGAUGGUGGUAGUUUACUGAACUCUCAUUUUGGGGGAAAUCUGGAGAUGUCUUGGUCUGAUGGAGUUUUGUGAUCAACUUACUGUAUCCCGUUUUGAGGGCAAGUUGUGGAGAUUUUCUAGGCGAUAGGUUCACGGCAGAGCAUUCCAGCAAAUUUGCAAAAUUAAUCAGCAUGUAACGUCCAUCACCGAACGUUUAGUAGCUAGAUGAUACAUUCUUAGGGAAAGAUUGCUGCUUGGACAUGUUUAAUGUUAGGAGAAAGCUUAUGGGAUCUCUGUGUAUGUUAUCCAUGCGGCAUUGGCGGUUUGUUCCACUUCUAAUGUAGUAUUAGUAUUCAUGCGCUGAGUAAUACAGUAUCUACUUUUGUGUUAAUUGAUGGUAUAUUGCUCUUGUA